UCAAAUAGAGAGACAAGGUAGGCCUCAACAGCUUCUUGGAGAGCACCAAUGGCAGAAGAUUGGAAACGCAAGUCAGUCUUGAAAUCUUGGGCGAUUUCACGGACCAAACGUUGGAAAGGUAGCUUACGAAUUAAAAGUUCAGUAGACUUUUGAUAACGACGAAUCUCACGAAGAGCGACAGUACCAGGACGAUAACGAUGAGGCUUCUUAACACCUCCGGUAGCGGGAGCGGCCUUACGAGCGGCCUUAGAGGCCAAUUGCUUACGGGGUGCCUUACCACCGGUAGACUUACGAGCUGUUUGUUUAGUACGAGCCAUUAUAUCAAGCUAGUAGAAUGAAUAUCAAAUAAAAAGACAAUCGAGAAAAAAAUAGCUGUUGUGCUACUUUUGCCAAUUGUUGAUCUUUAGAAUUAAUGGAAACGCAAGCGUACUGCAGAUAUUUGCUAUAUAUAUGUUUUGAAUCCACCCGA